rnacentral:rRNA from 1 species
UUGAACGCUGGCGGCAGGCCUAACACAUGCAAGUCGAGCGGAUGAAGGGAGCUUGCUCCUGGAUUCAGCGGCGGACGGGUGCGUAAUGCCUAGGAAUCUGCCUGGUAGUGGGGGAUAACGUCCGGAAACGGGCGCUAAUACCGCAUACGUCCUGAGGGAGAAAGUGGGGGAUCUUCGGACCUCACGCUAUCAGAUGAGCCUAGGUCGGAUUAGCUAGUUGGUGGGGUAAAGGCCUACCAAGGCGACGAUCCGUAACUGGUCUGAGAGGAUGAUCAGUCACACUGGAACUGAGACACGGUCCAGACUCCUACGGGAGGCAGCAGUGGGGAAUAUUGGACAAUGGGCGAAAGCCUGAUCCAGCCAUGCCGCGUGUGUGAAGAAGGUCUUCGGAUUGUAAAGCACUUUAAGUUGGGAGGAAGGGCAGUAAGUUAAUACCUUGCUGCUUUGACGUUACCAACAGAAUAAGCACCGGCUAACUUCGUG